rnacentral:rRNA from 1 species
AACGAACGCUGGCGGCAUGCCUAACACAUGCAAGUCGAACGAGACCUUCGGGUCUAGUGGCGCACGGGUGCGUAACGCGUGGGAACCUGCCCUUAGGUUCGGAAUAACUCCCCGAAAGGGGUGCUAAUACCGGAUAAUGUCUUCGGACCAAAGAUUUAUCGCCUUUGGAUGGGCCCGCGUUGGAUUAGCUAGUUGGUAGGGUAAAAGCCUACCAAGGCGACGAUCCAUAGCUGGUCUGAGAGGAUGAUCAGCCACACUGGGACUGAGACACGGCCCAGACUCCUACGGGAGGCAGCAGCGGGGAAUAUUGGACAAUGGGCGAAAGCCUGAUUCAGCAAUGCCGCGUGAGUGAUGAAGGCCUUAGGGUUGUAAAGCUCUUUUACCCGGGAUGAUAAUGACAGUACCGGGAGAAUAAGCUCCGGCUAACUCCGUG